UGAAAUCCAGAGUGUUUCUUUCUUUCCGUGUGUCGUUUUGCAAAAAAAUCAUCUAGGCCACCGGUUAUGAGGCAACCACGUAUGCCCGAUACGAAGACGCGAGAACAUUCGCUGUUCAUACGUGUGGACUCAGUGAUUUUCACUUAAAAUUACAUUAUUCACAAUUGCAAACACACAGAAAAUACAAUGAUCUGCAAUUAUUGAAUAAUUAUUAUAAAGUCACAGAAAGUUUCAGUACGAAGAUAGCACGGACCAUUGUUUUGCAACUAGUACGGAGAAGAAACUGAACCUGUUGCGGCACAAAUUUCAUGCACCAACCCCGUCCUGGAGAACAUGCAGCUGGAACACCAGUGAUUGAAGAAUGAUUAGCGAGGAUGUGAAUAAGAUGAAACGAUUAAUUACGAUAUAUUACAGCUAAACUGAGGAGGAUAAAUAGAAUGCUGUUGCUGCCGCUCUUUUUCCCUCAUUAUAACGUAUGAAAAUCCCGGCCGGCGAUGUUAACGAAUUGAAUGAGGAGGAUGCUUCGAAUGAUGAUGGUAUUACCAGAGUUGAAUGAUCAGCUUAUCGUCUU